rnacentral:lncRNA from 1 species
UCCAUUUGUUUCUUUAAGAAGAUGUGCAGUAUGCUGUUGUAUCUCAGUUCUCAUAUACUGUAAUAUAUAUUAACAGAAAGAAUCAUGUUGUAUGCUUCAGAUUUAUACUGAAAGUGUGUCCCUAUUUUGAUGCAAUUCUUCUUUUUUACAUACUAGGAAACGUUCUGUAGCAAAAAACACGCUCACUGAGCAUGUCGUUAUGGAUUACGUAAUGAAGCGUAGAAAAUGAAGAGGAUAAUCAAGUCGAGAGCCACCGGCGAUGAUGUGUAGUUGCUGGAUGAGCUUCUCAUCCACGCCUUGGCUGCAAACCGUGUCUGCAGGUGCAGGUAAUGACUUCAUAGAUUUCUAUUUUAUACAGGGUGCAUACUGGACUAGAGGUUUGAUUAUUAGGAUGAUUUCUAAUGCGUGAUGUCCCACGCAAGCACCUUGCUGAAUUUCAGGUUUUUUUAUUUGUUGCAUCAAUGGUAUCUUUCCAACAGAACAUUUACUACAAUGCUUCUAUUCAUAUAUAUUUAUGUGCUCAAAUUUAUUGCCACCAUCAUUUUGUAUGCAGCACUUGAACAACAUAUAUCUAUUUUUUGUGUUCGGGAGCCUUCCUAUAUACUAUUGUCAACUAACGUCCAUUCCACUUAAGGGAUAUUUGAGGGGAUAUGUGUAACAAAAUGUUACUAUUACAAGAAAUAAACUCCCAUUUCAGUUAAGUGAGAUUCUGAGGGAUGUGUGUAACCAUGUGCUUCUAUUGCGAGAAAAUGAUUCUCAGUAUUUGAUCAUCAUAUGGAUGCACUUCUAUAUGAUGCACUUCUAUUUGAUCAACAUAAUUUGGGAGACAUGGGAUCAUAUGAUUUCUUGAAGCGGACUAAGCUAAGAGAGGAUUACUGAUGCUUACAUGUAAUACUUUAGAAUUGAACUGCCAAUGCCCAUUUAGGAAAAUGAAUUUAAUGCCCAUUCCAAGGGUCUUUUCCCGGGAUAAUGUGCAACCAAGUGCUAUUACAAAAAGAAAGUUAGUAUUUGAUACAUAUAAGUCUCUCAGUAUAUUAACUAUGUUGUUCAUUUUACAUUUAUAUAAAUGGCCGGCAUUUUUAACCCUUAUAUUCCUGUUAGGAAAUAUAUGAUGCAGAGGAUCUCACCUAAAUAAUUAUGGAUUUAAGCUAAGCCAUAAAUAUAAUAAUGUUUGGCUCACAUCUGGUGGUAGGACUUCCUCAUAGAAGGAUAAGCAGAGAUAUGUAUUAUUUGCAUAUGUGUCUAUCAUUUGAACCCAUUUUGAGCUAUUUGGUUAAACAUAAGCAUUUGUAAUACAAUCAAAAGACAGGCACAAGAUAACUAUGAAUCUCAGACCAUGGAAAUAUUAAUCCACUAUCUAAUGUCCAACUAAUUGAAACAAUAUUAAGUGCACUACAAUCAAGUUUCAUAACACAAUUCUCUAUUUCUCACAUAAAAAAUGAAACAAUACAAAGAGCUGCCAAUGAUUUAUACUCUUUUAGGAAAAAUUACUAGCCCGUGCAGUCGCACAGGUUGUUGACUAGUCAUGCUUAAAGAUCAUGAAUCUUACCAUCUUACCUUCUCGUGCUUGAAGUGUUCUCAGUCAGGACAAGCAAGCCCAGUGACUCCCACUACGGCUCAUGGCGCUUCGACCUCCUUGCAACAAUGAUCACUCGAGGUAGUUGUCUAUGCUUGUGCAUUGUUGAUGCUUGCGUCUUGUCUUUGUGCUUCUCAACUUACAACUUGUGCAUUGUUGAUAGUAGAGCCCACAAGUGUUGAUGCUUAUAUUGUUCAUACUUCUUAGCUUCAAUUUGAACCUUAUAUGUUGAUGCUUGUUGACUCUUGUGCCUUAUCGAUCAUUUGAAAAUUAACUUUGAAAACUCAUGCGUUUGGUAAUGGACUUAUAGGUUUGCAUCGUGGAUGCCGUUGACGGUGGGCAUACAUGCUACGGUGGAGCACAUUGCAUGUUUGAGGUUCAUGCUUGGUGUGAACUUGGAACUCAUGCUUUUGUUUGUGAACCUUGUUGGAUAUGUACCUGUGUGGACUUUGGACUCAUGGUCAAUUUGUAUGGUUGUCAAGUUGUACUAAAUUGUUGUUGUGAACCUUCGUUGGUUAUAUAUUACUUGUUG